rnacentral:lncRNA from 1 species
UGGGUACGUGGAUCGUUUCUUAGUUGAUAGUCGGUUCAUUUGCCAAUUUCUAGGGACUUCUAUUUUGUGUCUAUAUCUCUGAUGUCAGGAUGUUCUUCGUCUUAUAAAAAAAAAAGUCUUAAAUUGGAAAGGGAUGAUCUGAAGAUUUGUUUGUAAGUGAAGAUAAUUUUCACCAAGACAAUUUUCAGGAAGAAGUGGUGAAGGAACUUAUAGAAAUUAUAUUUGUGAAUCAUUGUGGUGAAACUUUAGAAAAUAUUUUCAAGGCUCAGAAAACAAACCUUUUCCAUUACAUAAGAUGCAUUGUGUNNNNNNNNNNNNNNNNNNNNNNNNNNNNNNNNUAAUUUUUCUGUACUCAUAAUGUUUGUUGUGGUUAAUUGCUGUAUUUUUGCUUAAUAUUGCUUCUCCAUCAUACCUCUAUAUAUAGACAUUUAUAAAAGCAAGGAAAGUUAUUCCUUAUUGGAGAUGGUUUAAAUGCACUGAUCUGUAAAAUUUCAGUUAAAAGUCUUGCUAUAUGUUUGAUUUUGCGGUGAGAAGAUUUUAUUUUGAAUGAAUUGAUUCUUUAAAAUUGAUUUUGACUAAAAUUGAGUUGAAGGUAAAUGGAUUUAUGUUUGAAUACAUUCAUAUAAAAGUGAGUUGACCAAUAAA